rnacentral:rRNA from 1 species
AUUGAACGCUGGCGGCAGGCCUAACACAUGCAAGUCGAGCGGAGCGGCGGACGGGUGAGGAAUGCCUAGGAAUCUGCCUGGUGGUGGGGGAUAACGUCCGGAAACGGGCGCUAAUACCGCAUACUAGCAGAUGAGCAUAUGUCGGAUGAGCUAGUUGGGGGGGAAAAGGCCUACCAGGGCGACGAUCCGUAACGGGUCUGAGAGGAUGAUCAGGCACACUGGAAAUGACAAACGGUCCAGACUCCUACGGGAGGCAGCAGUGGGGAAUAUUGGACAAUGGGCGAAAGCCUGAUCGAGCCAUGCCGCGUGUGUGAAGAAGGUCUUCGGAUUGUAAAGCACUUUAAGUUGGGAGGCGUUACCAACAGAAUAGGCACCGGCUAACUUCGUGCCAGCCGCCGCGGUAAUUC